AUUUUUUGAAGUCAUGUCUUUAUUUAGGGGCAUACAAUAUUAUACACAGUAGAACAUUUUGGUAACAAUGCAUAUUGCUAUAGAUGCAGUUAUACAGUUUUGUAUAUAAUUGAUAAUUAAACAAUUAAUGUAUAUAUGUGUGUACUUUUUUGGAGAAAUAGUUCUUUUGAAUGAUAAAGAUGAUUUGAAACGCUGCAAUCAUUUCUUCACACAUUGCUUGUCCUGGGGGCACUGUUGGGUUGGCUUGCACGGUUCUUUAAGGAAAAAAAUAAAAGACAU